UACGUAGGGUGCGAGCGUUGUCCGGAAUUAUUGGGCGUAAAGGGCUCGUAGGCGGUCUGUUGCGUCGGGAGUGAAAACUCAGGGCUUAACCCUGAGCCUGCUUCCAAUACGGGCAGACUAGAGGUAUGCAGGGGAGAACGGAAUUCCUGGUGUAGCGGUGAAAUGCGCAGAUAUCAGGAGGAACACCGGUGGCGAAGGCGGUUCUCUGGGCAUUACCUGACGCUGAGGAGCGAAAGUGUGGGGAGCGAACAGG
rnacentral:rRNA from 1 species